ACGCAAGCUAUCUCUUUCCCUUCCCCAUGCCAUAAAAUUAAACAUAACAUUUAUUAUUUUUUUUUAAAAACAUUAAAGAUUUAGAAAACCCAAAACCUUUUUUUUCAAAUUCUCUUUCUCCUUAAAAACAUUUUACCCUUUUGUUUUUUUAAAAAAAAAACCAAAACUCUUUCUUCUUCCCCACUUCCCAGUCAAAGGACUAAAACCCAGCUCUCAUUCGCCGCCUCAUGCUCGGCCGUAAACAGCCAUCGGAAGGCCGAAGUUCACCCCCUUUUGCCAGCGAAUCGAAAGGUAUGGUGAACGUGGCUUGGACAUGGUACGUGGGUGCAUGGUGAACGAUGGUGGAGAACGUGGGUAGUGCGUGGAGGUGGUAGCGGCGCUGGCCAAAGGGAGAGCCUCAAAGCUAGGGUUUGUUAUUUCUUUAAAAAAAAUUUGGGCCAUUGGGCUUGUUUUAAUGGGCCAAAAUUAUGUUUUGGGCCAGCAUUUAAGCUUGGGCUUUAAAUUUUGUAAUGGACUAUUUUGUUUUUGUUUUUGUUUUGUAUGUGAAUGGGUUGUAAUUGGGUAUUUGGGCCGGGCAAAAUUGGGUUUUACAGGUACAAACUAAAUACUUAAUUUCAUUUGAUAGUAUACAUCAAA